AGGGGAAGUGUAGGCUUUUCCCACUGUCAAUGUCUAUGUUAAGGGAGUAAGGCAGCCUGAAACCUCUUGCUCCUAGGUCCCAUAGUCUCCACUCCCCUUCCAGCUGGAAAUUUGUGCUGCAACCAGAGGAACCAGAAAUGGGGUGAGAAAACUUAGGGGACUGGGUUGUAAGAUCAAAGGCCGGUCUUGCAGCAGUAAUGACAGUUCCUAGGGGCACUGUGACAUCAUUGCAUUCCACUCCUCCCAGGGGAGGGGACCACAUCAGCGCGAUGCCCGAGUCGCUGCUCCACGAUGGGGGAGGGAAACACACGGUUUCGACCCAGGUCCUCAGAGACGCCAGCCCAAGAAGCCUAGGGAGGUCGAGCUUGGGGCAGCAGGAGGGGAGGGCAGAGUCUGCAGUAGGGAGCCCCGGGAGUCACCAGCCCAAAGCCACCCAGGGAUGACUGUCACCUACCAGGCAGCUGUGCAACUGAGCCACAGGUGGCGUAACCAGGGCACCAAUGGAACGCAGAAUAGGGGCGUGGCCUUAAUGCUCCAAGCCCAUUGGUCAGUGAGAAAGAUGAAAGGGAAAGGAGGCGUGGCCAGGCAGCAGCAUGUCCAGAGGGACCUGUGGCAUCAUAAGGAAAGCUGCCCAUGCAACCGCUGUCCCCGCCCACUCAGAGAAAGGGGAGGGGCCGCCCACUCUGGGAGAGGGGAAGGGCUGGGUUUUGCUUUAAAACUUUUAAAACUGUAAAAAAUAAACUUUAAAAAAUA
rnacentral:lncRNA from 1 species